rnacentral:lncRNA from 1 species
UAUGAAUUUUUAUUUUCAGAAAUAUUUCUUUGAAAUGUCUCUUUUACUUCGUGUAAACGUUAUGUAGUUCGUGUAGGUAGUCCUUCAUUUCAUAGGCAAAUAGGGUAGAUAGACAUCAGUGGAUAAAGUAGAUUUUCUAUUAGCAUUUUACAGUCAGUAAUGAGAACAUAAAAUGAAUGUGUAUUUGAAUCAUAAUUACUAAAAUAUCAGACAUUGUGAUUAAAAAAUAAAGAUAUCUUUCUUAUUUUACUUAAUUACUUAGUAAAGAAGGGUUCAGUUUUAAUAUUUCUAGACUGAACUCUAUGUUUAUUUCUUUUGGUAUUCCAGUGUAUGACUCCUUAAUUAGAUUUGGGGGUAAAGCCCAGAAAAAUUGGUCCAUUAUCCAAUUUUUAAUGUUUGACCGUUGGAAUUUAAAACAUAUUUUCUUAACAUGCCAGUAGUUCUUAACUUGAUUCUUAAAUUAUUAAAGUGCAACACGCUGAGAUUGCUAAAUUGACUUUUUUUUUGCAAUACUUGGAACAUUUUCCCCAGCACCAAAUACCUAUUUUAAGCU